rnacentral:lncRNA from 1 species
GAGCAGGUUCAGAAGAUUUUGCAGAGCUAUUUUCAAGAUGAAUGCCAGAGCCCUUAGGUUGCAGCUGUAGGACAGUAUUCCAGUUACUGAGCUCUCAGCCAGUGGGCCUUUCAAGAGUCAUGAUCUUCUCCAGAAAGGAUUUUCUUGUGUGAAAAAUGAACUUUUGCCCAGUCACCUUCUUGAAUUAUCAAAAGAAAAAAAUUCCAGGUCAACCAGGACAAGAUGAACUUUCCACCCUGAGGAACAUCCAGGGUCGGUUUGCUCCCCUGAAGUUACAGGUGGAGUUCAAGGCAGUGCAGCAGGUUCCGCGUCUUCCAUUUCUCCCGAGCUCAAACCUCUCACUGGAUAUUUUGAGGGGCAACUAUGAGGCCAUUGUUUUUGAGGAUGUUCUUAACACUUCAUCGCAAAGUGAACUGAUGGGUGAGCUACGCUUGAUAGUGGAAUAUAAGCUGGACUUGCUGUAAUACA